AGGAGGUGUUUUUUUUUUUGCUUCGAGAGAGUUUAAGUCGGAUAUAGCUAAAAUACCCAAUGGCAAAGUGUGUAAAACUGUCUGUAUUUGGCAAAAGAAUUGUUAUUAAUACCUUUUAUUUAGUGGAUUGGUGUUUAUACUCUGUACGAGAGUAAACGUUUACGUUUUGUUUUUUCUGAGUCUGCCGUAUAGCGCAGCCCGUCGCUACGCUAAUUAUCGGGACUACGCUACAAAGAGACUUCUAUCUGACGGUUUUCCAGCAGUGCGUUUAGUUUAUUUAAUUUUCGUGAAGCAGUUGUGACUCUAUAUCGGACGUGGUUUGGAAUCUCAAUGCCAUGGUGAUACAGUAUCGCGUUGCUUUUCGGGAGAGGAGGCCGUGAGACUUCAGGAAUAUCUACCGCUUCAUGUGAGGAUAAGUUCGCGUUUCAACCACCUUGGAAGGCAUUCAGGAAUUGAUUUGGAAUGGGGGAUAAAAAUGGGCAUUCUGGAGGAGUGAGGUUGAAGGAUGGUUGCUGAAUUUACUUUUGAGCAGGUAUUAGGUCAUCAAUGGCUUUGCCUUUCUCUAGUCGCUUCUCCAUCUCCACCAGCAGCUUCACUCCAUCUACCACCAUCUGAACAAGCUCCACCUCAGAGAAGCCCAGCCGGUCAGCAUUAGAGAUAU